rnacentral:lncRNA from 1 species
UGGCCUACUCCCAGAGCGUGAUAUUGAAUUUUGUAUUAACUUUGAACCCGGUACAAAACUCAUUUCUAAAAUCUCAUAUCGAAUGGCUCCUAUUGAACUUCAAGAGUUAAAAACCCAAAUAUAGAAGUUGAUAACCGAGCCUCUAUCUGGUGACUUCUUUUGUGGAAUGCACCGAAGCCAGACUCUCCGUAGGGGACGCCAUAUUCGUGCGAUAGUAAAUUGAUAGGUGUCAUUGUGACGUGUGCUAUCC